UACAGAGGGGGCAAGCGUUGUUCGGAAUUACUGGGCGUAAAGGGCGCGUAGGCGGCCUGUUAAGUCGGACGUGAAAUCCCUCGGCUCAACCGGGGAACUGCGUCCGAUACUGGCGGGCUUGAAUUCGGGAGAGGGAUGUGGAAUUCCAGGUGUAGCGGUGAAAUGCGUAGAUAUCUGGAGGAACACCGGUGGCGAAGGCGGCAUCCUGGACCGACAUUGGCGCUGAGGCGCGAAAGCCAGGGGAGCAAACGGG
rnacentral:rRNA from 1 species